rnacentral:rRNA from 1 species
GCCUAGCUUGCUAGGUGGAUUAGUGGCGCACGGGUGAGUAAUAUAUAGAUAACGUGCCUCUUAGUCUGGGAUAGCCAUUGGAAACGAUGAUUAUUACUAGAUACUCCUUCUAACUCUAAUGUUAGUUGGGAAAGUUUUUCGCUAAGAGAUCGGUCUAUAUCCCAUCAGCUAGUUGGUAGUGUAAGAGACUACCAAGGCAAUGACGGGUAGCGGGUUUGAGAGGAUGAUCCGCCACACUGGUACUGAGACACGGACCAGACUCCUACGGGAGGCAGCAGUGAGGAAUAUUGCACAAUGGAGGAAACUCUGAUGCAGCAACGCCGCGUGGAGGAUGACGCAUUUCGGUGUGUAAACUCCUUUUAUAUGUCAAGAAAAUGACGGUAGCAUAUGAAUAAGCACCGGCUAACUCCGUGCCAGCAGCCGCGGUAAUACGGAGGGUGCAAGCGUUAUUCGGAAUCACUGGGCGUAAAGGACGCGUAGGCGGGAUGCCAAGUCUGAUGU